CCUGUUCCCACGUGGUUCAGAAUCAUCUCGCCCCCCUCGAGGAUUUGGCCGCCCUGACUCGAGACGAUGCCGCGCCGCCUCCUCCCCCAAGACGUCGCGCCGCCUCCUCCCCCAAGACGCCGCGCCGCCUGACUCGACGCCGGCGAUCUCCUCCGGCCUACUGGAUUUCUCACUGGUGCCUGCCGCUCCGAUUCUUGUUGGGGUGCACGAAUUACCUCCGUAUUGGGAUCCAGUUGUCACGCCUAAUUUCGGUUCUCAAGCACCAGAAGAAGCAACAAUAAACAAGCUGGAGGGAUAACUUUCUCUCAGAUUCUCAAAGAUAGAUGAUCAUGACACCAAAAGAUGGAUAUAUCUGUAUGCGAAAUUAUAACUGAUCUUGAGCUAUUCCAGAAGUACUUGUGUUGUGUUCUAUUUGCUGCAAAAUUAUGUUGGGGCUGUCAUGAACUAUUGUUGCUGCGAAAGAUCAUGUUGUCAUGAUAAAUUAUGAUUCCUGGGAUUUGGGAUUCGAAGUCAUGUUGUUAUGAUAAAUUAUGAUGUUGUUGUGAUGAUAUAUUGAUAAUGCUGCUAAAUUAUUCCCCUGUAGCAGCUUUUCUCAUUUUUAUUAGGUGGCCUUUACAAUUCUGUAGCAAGGAUAUAAGGGAGUUAGUUACAUUGUAAAGAUUGAAUUUUUAGAUGUUCUACAC